GGUUAAGUUAGAAAGGGCGCACGGUGGAUGCCUUGGCACUAGGAGCCGAAGAAGGACGGGACUAACACCGAUAUGCUUUGGGGAGCUGUACGUAAGCGUUGAUCCAGAGAUUUCCGAAUGGGGGAACCCACUAUCUUUAGUCGGAUAGUAUCCUUACGUGAAUACAUAGCGUAAGGAAGGCAGACCCAGGGAACUGAAACAUCUAAGUACCUGGAGGAAGAGAAAGAAAAAUCGAUUUCCUGAGUAGCGGCGAGCGAAACGGAAAGAGCCCAAACCAAGAAGCUUGCUUCUUGGGGUUGUAGGACACUCUAUACGGAGUUACAAAAGAAAGUUAUAAAUGAAGCGGUCUGGAAAGGCCCGCCAAAGACGGUAACAGCCCGGUAGUUGAAAUGGCUUUCCCUCCAGAGUGGAUCCUGAGUACGGCGGAACACGUGAAAUUCCGUCGGAAUCCGGGAGGACCAUCUCCCAAGGCUAAAUACUCCCUAGUGACCGAUAGUGAACCAGUACCGUGAGGGAAAGGUGAAAAGCACCCCGGAAGGGGAGUGAAACAGUUCCUGAAACCGUGUGCCUACAAGUAGUUAGAGCCCGUUAAUGGGUGAUAGCGUGCCUUUUGUAGAAUGAACCGGCGAGUUACGAUUUGUUGCAAGGUUAAGCGGAAAAAGCGGAGCCGUAGCGAAAGCGAGUCUGAAUAGGGCGCAUAAGUAACAGGUCGUAGACCCGAAACCAGGUGAUCUACCCAUGUCCAGGAUGAAGGUAAGGUAAUACUUACUGGAGGUCCGAACCCACGCACGUUGAAAAGUGCGGGGAUGAGGUGUGGGUAGCGGAGAAAUUCCAAUCGAACUUGGAGAUAGCUGGUUCUCUCCGAAAUAGCUUUAGGGCUAGCCUCGAGGUAAAGAGUCAUGGAGGUAGAGCACUGUUUGGACUAGGGGCCCUUCUCGGGUUACCGAAUUCAGAUAAACUCCGAAUGCCAUGUACUUAUACUCGGGAGUCAGACUG
rnacentral:rRNA from 1 species